rnacentral:lncRNA from 1 species
UACGCUCUGGAAGAAAGAGAGGGAAAAAAAAAGAAAAAAAUGAGAAAAAGGAAGAAAUUAUUUUUGUUGAGGGAAACAUUUAAAAAAACAUUCAAAAUCAUGGAUUCGACAACUCAAUGUAUCAUUAUGGAUAUGAAGAAAAGAAAUUGAUCAAAUAUACUUAAGAGGACCCUUCCUUCCAAUGACUCAUUUGUGGAAAAGGAAUACGAAUGUGAUGUCAUAGUCUCUGUUCAUGGAUGCCUAGGCAUAGAACAUGUGCAUUUGGUGGAUUAGAUAUACAUAAAUGGUCCUUUCAUAGAGUACCUUUUUAAGGGGUAAUAAUAAUCACAACUACAAUAUAUAAUUAAUACAAAUAUCCUUAUGGACAAAAAAUAUGGUGACGUCAUAGAACUGACUCAAUUGGUAUCUCAGAUGUUAUUAAGGAUAAUUUUCAAGAGAGUCAUUUUUUAAUAAGUAAUAAAUGUCACAUAAAUGCUCUAUAAUCAAUCAGUCAUAAAAAGACCAUAAGGAAAAAAAGUAUGUGACGUCAUAGGGGGAUUCAUGGACCUCUCAUUCCACCAUUUGCUCAGAACAUUUCUUUUAACUCCUCCACCCUAAUUUUGUGGGUUUUUUUUUAUCUGAACAAAUACCAUAAGUAAAAAAAGUAAGUGACGUCAUAGGGGGGAUUCAUGGAUCUUUUAUGGAACCUAUUUAUUACGUGACUUGCUCAGUACAUCUUUACUACUGCCCAAACUCAAUUUUGUCUAUGUCCAAAUUCAUAGAAAUUCGUUUCACUCCUUGUCUUGGUCAGAACAUCCUUUUAUACUCCCAACUCGGUUUUUUAGGGAAAGAGCAACUCCAAGUCAAAACGUCAAAAUAAAGAUCGUGAAAAAGUUAUGGGAUAUUUUUUCAAGGAUAACGAAGAGUUACAAUCCGUCAUAUGGGAAGACUCGUAUUUAUUCAACCAUAGUAUCUACUAUUCAAAAUGAGGCUCCUUUUGUUGAAAUAAAUGUUGGACAAGGCUCUAUCUUUGAGAAAAAACUCAGAAAAUAACAUCUCUAUUAGACA